GUAGGUGGCAAGCGUUGUCCGGAAUUAUUGGGCGUAAAGCGCGCGCAGGCGGUUCUUUAAGUCUGAUGUGAAAGCCCACGGGCUCAACCGUGGAGGGUCAUUGGAAACUGGAGAACUUGAGUACAGAAGAGGAAAGCGGAAUUCCACGUGUAGCGGUGAAAUGCGUAGAGAUGUGGAGGAACACCAGUGGCGAAGGCGGCUUUCUGGUCUGUAACUGACGCUGAGGCGCGAAAGCGUGGGGAGCAAACGGGAUUAGAUACCCUGUAGUCCACGCCGUAAACGAUGAGUGCUAAGUGUUAGGGGGUUUCCGCCCCUUAGUGCUGCAGCUAACGCAUUAAGCACUCCGCCUGGGGAGUACGGCCGCAAAGGCUG
rnacentral:rRNA from 1 species